CUUUCCACUGCCACCUGAACAGGUUAAUUCCAGGUCAUAACAGGUGGAACUAGGAUCAGGGGACUGCGGUGGUGACCAGCAAGCUGUCGUCUCUCCUCACCUACUCCGGGGAUAUGGCCCACUGUGUCAGCACCAAAAUCCUGAAGGUGUUUGGUCGGGCAUUUGUGCCAAGCUUCAGGCCCACUGCAAAAUAGACUGGAGAGCUGCUUGUUGUUGACUACCUGCUGAGUCCAACUGGGCAGCCCCUGGAGAUGAACCCUGACUCAGAGGAGACAGAGGAUAUGCUGGGGGAUGUGGAUGAGAGCGUGGAAGAAAAAAAACAAGGACAGACAGGUGUCUGGCUGGUGACUGGACACAGCCAAUACAAGGGCGUUGUAUACUGUCCCUCCGUAGGGGCUGUUCCCAAAGAGCAGUGGUUGGAGGACAAUAAAAAAACUAAUUGAUAGUUAACCCCCCUUCCAGAGGCAUUGACACCAGGCUAGGGCCCCUCUAGUCCCCUCCCAGAGGCAUGGAUGCCAGACACCUUUAUUUCUGUGUAUAGUUCUAUAUAUGUUUAUUGUUAUUGUCUAUAGUUACUUUUGAAUGAAUGA